UCUGUGGUCCAUCCUGGGGAUUUGAGGCACUUGCUGCUCCUCUGGGCAAGGGAAAGGCUCCUGUGCUAUUCCCAAAAACAUAACACCUGGAAUUAGUGCCAUGGGAGCCCAAUCCAGUCUUUCCAGUGACUGGGGGUCACCCAGAGGGUCUUUACCAGCAUCAAAUGAAAAUGACAUCCUGGUCCAGUGCAUUUCCAGCAGGAUUGGACACUCCUGGCCAUGGUGACCAGUCCAUGAAAAUUGGACCAGUGACAAUCCAAAGAGGACUUAAGGUUGGAGACUUAAAAUCAGAAACUCCAAUUCUUUUCAGCACCUCUUGCUUAAAUGUUUCCCUGCUGGAAGAGCUCAAUUAGUAUUUUUGCUGACCAGAUUGCCAAAGGGAGGGAAAAACAAUCAGCAUUCCCUGAAUGCCUCCAUCACUUCCACAGCCAUCUGCAGCCAGUGGCCGAUGGGCAGGAGCUCAAGGGGUGGUAUUAAUUCCAUUAUUCCCAAGGUUUGAAUGAUUCUGGCAUUAUCCCAUGUCCCUGAGUGUGCCAGAAACCCCAGAGCUCCAGGAGCUGCAGCCAGCUGCAGGCAGGCGUUCUUCCUUCUCAGCUUUUUGGGAGUGUGGGUGAAGGUCCCCUUGCAAGUGAUCUUGGGCCCUGCUGGAGCCAAUUCAUGUCCCAGCCCAUAUCCUACAGGAAAACAGGCAAGUGCCCUGCUGGCCCCAGUUCCAGUCAGGAAUGUCUCAAACAACAUUGUGGGGUGUUCUUCCAGCUCUGGAAGGAAAGCUGGGAUAAGCCCAAUUCCAGGCUCCCUGUGGAACAGCACUUCAGUUUUUAGGGGCUGCAAUUGCCAGUGGGGUUUUCCCACUUUUCAGCAGACCAGGGAUCAUUCUCCAGUGUCUCCAGGAAAUUUCCAGAGCUGACCCAUUCCCAGCCUCAGAGGAUUCUGUGAGGAGAUUUCACAGCCACAAAUCAAGAUCCCAGACCCUCAGGGUUGCCCAUGAAGGCAGAGCAGUGUUGGCUACCCCAGUGAAUUUCCUCCAUGUGCACAACUUAAAAACCAUUACACCACUUCAAAAUUACCUGGAGCUGGUGCUGUAACAAUGAAAAACUGAUUUUCCAUGUCCAGAGGCAGGAGAUUGUCCUGGUCAGGCUGUGAGACCUUAAAGUGCACAUUGAUCUGGGGGCUGUGACUGGAUUCCAGCAGGGAUGGAGCCUCCUGUGUGUGCAAACCCAGCGUGGGACUGGGAAGGUUUUCACCAAGGAAAGUUCUUCCUUUCUUCCUUGGCAGCUUUUCUCUGGAAUAUUAAACAAAUAGGGAAGCCUGGUCCUUAAUCCAAUUACCACAGGGCAGCAAAUUACUGUUUCUUGUUUACCAGCUAUGAACAAAACUGGAAGCAGCGCUGAAAAUUUGGGAGCUGCUGCUUCACCACACGGUGUCAGCAACAGAGAGAAAACACAAGAUGUGUGUCCAAACACAGGGAUAAAAUGCUUUUAGUGGGACCAGGGCUAAUUCUGCCCUGGAGUGACAAAGAACUUCUCCCUCAGACCCCCAGAGACCCCUCAAAAAGCCAGAGGGAGGGAGGGAGGGAGGGAGGAAGGGAGGGAGGGAGGGAGGGCACCUGUGCCUCACCUGCUGGGAACAGCACAGGUCCUGCUGCUCCUGGGCCCUGGAAACGUGUCUGGAGCCAGGAGCUCCUUCCCAGGCUGGAGGGGCUUUCCUAAAGCAGCACCUCUGGUUCACAUCCUGCUGGCUUUCCCCUCCCUUGGGAAAGGAAGGAUUUCAUCCAGAGCCUGGAGAAGGAGGAAACAAGGAGGCCCAGCCCAUGGACGGUUCAGAUGAGCCACGGGAGGACACAGAAUCUGUGUAGGGAUUUCUGACCCAGGGGCCACAUUCCUUCAAACCCAGUGCAAACUCAUUAAAAUGAUCUUUC
rnacentral:lncRNA from 1 species